rnacentral:rRNA from 1 species
GACGAACGCUGGCGGCGUGCUUAACACAUGCAAGUCGAACGAAGAGCGAUGGAAUCUUGCUUCUAUCAAUCUUAGUGGCGAACGGGUGAGUAACGCGUAAUCAACCUGCCCUUCAGAGGGGGACAACAGUUGGAAACGACUUCUAAUACCGCAUACGAUCUAACCUCGGCAUCGAGGAUAGAUGAAAGGUGGCCUCUACAUGUAAGCUAUCACUGAAGGAGGGGAUUGCGUCUGAUUAGCUAGUUGGUGGGGUAACGGCCCACCAAGGCGAUGAUCAGUAGCCGGUCUGAGAGGAUGAACGGCCAAAUUGGGACGGAGACAAGGCCCAGACUCCUACGGGAGGCAGCAGUGGGGAAUCUUCCGCAAUGGACGAAAGUCUGACGGAGCAACGCCGCGUGAGUGAUGACGGCCGUCGGGUUGUAAAGCUCUGUUAAUCGGGACGAAAGGCCUUCUUGCGAAUAGUUAGAAGGAUUGACGGUACCGGAAGAGAAAGCCACGGCUAACUACGUG